rnacentral:rRNA from 1 species
GACGAACGCUGGCGGCGUGCCUAAUACAUGCAAGUAGGACGCAGUUGCGAACGGGUGAGUAACGCGUAGGUAACUACCUAUUAGAGGGGGAUAACUAUUGGAAACGAUAGCUAAUACCGCAUACUAGUAGAUGGACCUGCGUUGUAUUAGCUAGUAGGUAGGGUAAUGGCCUACCUAGGCAACGGUACAUAGCCGACCUGGAAGGGAGGUCGGGCACAAUUGGACGGAGGAACGGCCCAAGCUCCCAAGGGAGGGAGCAAUAGGGAAUCUUCGGAAAUGGGGGGAAACCUGAACGAGCAACGGCGCGGGGGUGGAGAAAGUUUUCGGAUCGUAAAGCUCUGUUGUUAAGGAAGCGGUACUUAACCAGAAAGGGACGGCUAACUACGUGCCAGCAGCCGCGGUAAUUC